rnacentral:rRNA from 1 species
GACGAACGCUGGCGGCGUGCUUAACACAUGCAAGUCGAACGGAAAGGCCCUGCUUUUGUGGGGUGCUCGAGUGGCGAACGGGUGAGUAACACGUGAGUAACCUGCCCUUGACUUUGGGAUAACUUCAGGAAACUGGGGCUAAUACCGGAUAGGAGCUCCUGCUGCAUGGUGGGGGUUGGAAAGUUUCGGCGGUUGGGGAUGGACUCGCGGCUUAUCAGCUUGUUGGUGGGGUAGUGGCUUACCAAGGCUUUGACGGGUAGCCGGCCUGAGAGGGUGACCGGCCACAUUGGGACUGAGAUACGGCCCAGACUCCUACGGGAGGCAGCAGUGGGGAAUAUUGCACAAUGUGCGGAAGCCUGAUGCAGCAACGCCGCGUGCGGGAUGACGGCCUUCGGGUUGUAAACCGCUUUCGCCUGUGACGAAGCGUGAGUGACGGUAAUGGGUAGAGAAGCACCGGCUAACUACGUG